AUUGAACGCUGGCGGCAGGCUUAACACAUGCAAGUCGAGCGGGGGAAGGUAGCUUGCUACCGGACCUAGCGGCGGACGGGUGAGUAAUGCUUAGGAAUCUGCCUAUUAGUGGGGGACAACAUCUCGAAAGGGAUGCUAAUACCGCAUACGUCCUACGGGAGAAAGCAGGGGAUCUUCGGACCUCGCGCUAAUAGAUGAGCCUAAGUCGGAUUAGCUAGUUGGUGGGGUAAAGGCCUACCAAGGCGACGAUCCGUAGCGGGUCUGAGAGGAUGAUCCGCCACACUGGGACUGAGACACGGCCCAGACUCCUACGGGAGGCAGCAGUGGGGAAUAUUGGACAAUGGGGGGAACCCUGAUCCAGCCAUGCCGCGUGUGUGAAGAAGGCCUUAUGGUCGUAAAGCACUUUAAGCGAGGAGGAGGCUACUUUAGUUAAUACCUAGAGAUAGUGGACGUUACUCGCAGAAUAAGCACCGGCUAACUCUGUGCCAGCAGCCGCAGUAA
rnacentral:rRNA from 1 species